UACAGAGGUGGCGAGUGUUGUUCGGAUUUACUGGGCGUAAAGGGUCCGCAGGCGGCUUUGUGUGUCAGAUGUGAAAUCCCACGGCUCAACCGUGGAAUGGCAUUUGAAACUACAGAGCUAGAGUACAGGAGAGGAUAGGGGAAUUCAUGGUGUAGCGGUGAAAUGCGUAGAUAUCAUGAAGAACACCGGUGGCGAAAGCGCCUAUCUGGACUGAUACUGACGCUCAUGGACGAAAGCCAGGGGAGCAAAGAGGAUUAGAUACCCUCGUAGUCCUGGCCAUAAACGGUGCGCACUUGAUGUGGGAGGUUUACCCCCUCCCGUGUCGAAGCUAACGCGUUAAGUGCGCCGCCCGGGAAGUACGGCCGCAAGGUUAAA
rnacentral:rRNA from 1 species